rnacentral:lncRNA from 1 species
AUGUAUAACUUAGUCUCCUUGGAAAGAAAAAGAAGGGGCUCCAGGUUGACAAGUGGUGGGGAAAUAGAAAAGAACUGGCUACUGUUCACACUAUCUGUAGUCACGUACAGAACAGGAUCAAGGGUGUUACACUGGUGUUGCUUGUUCAGUAUCUCAAGCUCAGAAAGAUGAGUUAGUUCUUGAGGGAAAUGACAAUGAACUGGUUAUCAAAUUCAGCUGCUUCGAUUCAGCAAGUCAUGACAGUUAAAAGCAAGGAUAUCAGAAAAUUUUUGGAUGAUAUCUAUGUUUCUGAAAAAGGAACAGUUUAGCAGGCUGAUGAAUAAUAUCUAAGUUGUCCGGGUACAGAGAAAGCAAGAUGCCAGUUGACUCUUCAGAUUCAUUUGUGGUAUCUUAAGGAUACAAUAAAGCUGUGUUGACUGGGGGGGAAAAUAUAUAUACAUGGAUCCAGAACUUCAAAUUACUCAAAAACAAAUGUGUCUGUGUGCACGUGGGUAUAUGUACAAUAUAGACAUUAACAAAAAUACAAUGUAUGUGUAGUGAAAAUGAAGGCCAUACAUUAUAGUAUUAACAAUGUUUGUCCCUAAAUAAUUAUUAGAUAACUUGAUUUUGUUCUUAUGCUUUUUUCACUUGUCUUUUCCCUGUACACAUACAAAUUUUGUCCUGAUAAAACAAGUUAAUGAAGUCUAAUCUCUUCUCCAUGAACUACCACAGCUCUUGAAGAUUACUUAAUGACAGUUUUUUACAAGCAUAGGAACUAUUCAGUCAUCCCUCUGUGCAGCUCAUCUUUCCUAUUUUGUAGGAAAUAUUCCUCAAUAAUUGUAUAACUUCUAAAAUUUAAAAAAUCCUUUUAUUGCACCCUUCAAUCUUCUUUUAAUUGCAUAAGAAAAAGUGAUUCAAAUGGACUCAGAAAUGCAUUGACUUACUCAUAACAUGUAUGAUUCCUUUGUUUUAAUCCUAAAGUCAUAAUUGAUAUUAAAAAGAUCCCUAAUAUCACUACCUCCAAAGUCAGAAAAAAAGCAGAAUAAUAAUGAUUACUGAUUACUGGGUGCUUGUUAUGUAACAAGCAAAGACUGGACACUUUGUAGGGAUUAUCUUCUUUAAAAAUAAAUUUAUAGGACAGUAAAUUUAUUCUUUUUUUUUUGUAAUGAAAGAACAGGUUCAGAUACACUAAGUAAAUUUCUGUUGGUCCCAUACCUAGUAGCUGACUGUGGCUUCAUGCCAAAAUUUGUAAUAUACUACUCUCAUUCUGCAAAGGGUGUGGUUUAGUAUUAACUUUGGAACUAAGAUUUGAAACAUAAUUUUUCCCAGAACACAGUUCCUUCAAACAAGAAGAUAAAAAGCCACAAGGAAUGUGACCCUUUACAGUGUAGUAAUCAACUGCUCAAGAAGUUCAUGAAGCUAAGAUUUAUUGACUACCUACCGUUAUCAGUUAGGAUGCUUAACAAGGAAUAAAUAAGAAAACUUAAAUCAAUUUUAAACA